rnacentral:rRNA from 1 species
UCGGAAACGGCUGCUAAUACCGCAUAAUGCAGCGGCAGCACAUGCUGAUCUGUUGUUAAAGCGGGGAACGAGCAAUCGUCCUCGCGCCUGAAGAGAAGCCCGCGGCGGAUUAGCUUGUUGGUGAGGUAACGGCUCACUAAGGCUGCGAUCCGUAGCCGGCCUGAGAGGGCGGUCGGCCACACUGACACUGACACACGGGUCAG